AAUGAACGCUGGCGGCGCGCCUAAUACAUGCAAGUCGAGCGAGAAGACGUAGCAAUACGUUUGUAAAGCGGCGAACGGGUGAGGAAUACAUGGGUAACCUACCCUCGAGUGGGGAAUAACUAGCCGAAAGGUUAGCUAAUACCGCGUACGCUUCUUGGACUUCGGUUCAGGGAGGAAAGCGAUGCUGAGGGUAUCGCGCUCUUGGAUGGGCUCAUGUCCUAUCAGCUUGNGGUGAGGUAACGGCUCACCAAGGCUUCGACGGGUAGCUGGUCUGAGAGGACGAUCAGCCACACUGGCACUGCGACACGGGCCAGACUCCUACGGGAGGCAGCAGUAAGGAAUAUUGCGCAAUGGGCGAAAGCCCGACGCAGCGACGCCGCGUGGGGGAUGAAGGUCUUC
rnacentral:rRNA from 1 species